rnacentral:misc_RNA from 1 species
GAUGAAGAACGUAGUGAAAUGCGAUAAGUAAUGUGAAUUGCAGAAUUCAGUGAAUCAUCGAAUCUUUGAACGCACAUUGCGCCCAUUAGUAUUCUAGUGGGCAUGCCUGUUCGAGCGUCAUUUCAACCCUUAAGCCUAGCUUAGUAUUGGGAAUCGACUUUACUGUCGUUCCUCAAAUUCAACGGCGGAUUUAUAGCAAUCUCUGAACGUAGUAAUUUUUUUCCUCGUUUUUGAAAUACUAUAAACCUCAGCCGCUAAACCCCCAAUUUUUUUAUGGUUGACCUCGGAUCAGGUAGGAAUACCCGCUGAACUUAAGCAUAUCAAUAAGCGGAGGA